UACGUAGGGGGCUAGCGUUGUCCGGAUUUAUUGGGCGUAAAGAGCGUGUAGGCGGCCAGAUAGGUCUGCUGUGAAAACUCGAGGCUCAACCUCGAGAUGUCGGCGGAAACCAUCUGACUAGAGUCCGGAAGAGGAGUGUGGAAUUCCCGGUGUAGCGGUGAAAUGCGCAGAUAUCGGGAAGAACACCCGUGGCGAAGGCGGCACUCUGGGACGGUACUGACGCUGAGACGCGAAAGCGUGGGGAGCGAACAGG
rnacentral:rRNA from 1 species